rnacentral:piRNA from 1 species
CGCAUCAACACACAUAGAUGGCAGUUACUC